rnacentral:rRNA from 1 species
AUUAAACGCUGGCGGCAUGCCUUACACAUGCAAGUCGAACGGCAGCACGGGGCAACCUGGUGGCGAGUGGCGAACGGGUGAGUAAAGCAUCGGAACGUGCCCUGGAGUGGGGGAUAACGUAGCGAAAGUUACGCUAAUACCGCAUAUUCUGUGAGCAGGAAAGCAGGGGAUCGCAAGACCUUGCGCUCUGGGAGCGGCCGAUGUCGGAUUAGCUAGUUGGUGGGGUAAAGGCCUACCAAGGCGACGAUCCGUAGCGGGUCUGAGAGGAUGAUCCGCCACACUGGGACUGAGACACGGCCCAGACUCCUACGGGAGGCAGCAGUGGGGAAUUUUGGACAAUGGGCGGAAGCCUGAUCCAGCCAUGCCGCGUGAGUGAAGAAGGCCUCGGUUGUAA